UGCAGUCGAGCGGAUGAAGGGAGCUUGCUCCUGGAUUCAGCGGCGGACGGGUGAGUAAUGCCUAGGAAUCUGCCUGGUAGUGGGGGAUAACGUCCGGAAACGGGCGCUAAUACCGCAUACGUCCUGAGGGAGAAAGUGGGGGAUCUUCGGACCUCACGCUAUCAGAUGAGCCUAGGUCGGAUUAGCUAGUUGGUGGGGUAAAGGCCUACCAAGGCGACGAUCCGUAACUGGUCUGAGAGGAUGAUCAGUCACACUGGAACUGAGACACGGUCCAGACUCCUACGGGAGGCAGCAGUGGGGAAUAUUGGACAAUGGGCGAAAGCCUGAUCCAGCCAUGCCGCGUGUGUGAAGAAGGUCUUCGGAUUGUAAAGCACUUUAAGUUGGGAGGAAGGGCAGUAAGUUAAUACCUUGCUGUUUUGACGUUACCAACAGAAUAAGCACCGGCUAACUUCGUGCCAGCAGCCGCGGUAAUACGAAGGGUGCAAGCGUUAAUCGGAAUUACUGGGCGUAAAG
rnacentral:rRNA from 1 species